CGGCCUCACUCUCCCAUCGCACCCCCCCUCCUGCAACCCUAACUCAAAUCCCAUCGAACACCUCCUCCUCCCGCAAUCCUAACUCCGAUCUCCUUGCCGCCACCAUCUUCUCGUCCCCAUCUACUCGCCGCCGCCACCUACGGCGCCGGACACGACGUCCCGCACCGAGCCCAACAAACCCUCGCGCGCCCCAGCCCUUGUUCGCCGACGCGGCCAUGGCAGGAUCCUCCCUCCUCAAGCCAGCCCGAUCCUCCCCUCGAUCUCGUCGGAGCUAGCGGAGAUUGGGCCGCGGCAAUUCCCCUCCCCACCCAGCCAUAAAGCCAUGCCCAAAUCAAGCCUCCCCCUCCUGAGCCGCACCCACCCCCAUCCCCACUCCAAUCGCGCCGCCUGCCCUCGUCGACCACUCCUCCGCCCCGCCGAGUCACCGCACACUGUUGAGUGAGCUCGUUUCUCGUGUCACCCAAAGUCGCGGAUGGCCCUAAUUAAUUCCCCCCAAUUCGGUCCCCUCGUAGGCCGCGGUGCCGUCGCCGUGGACGGGAUGUGCGGCGGCCGUCCCCCCAGCGUCAAACUCCUGCAGAUGGAGACGGCCUGCGGCGCCCUCAUGCACGAGCUUCAGGUGUGCCCGCGGUCUGCCAGCGACCAGGACGAUGCCGACGGCCUCCACAGUUGCUCCUUCUUAACAUUCGCGCGCCAGGAGAGGAGCCUCCGACCCCGACGCCAUGGAAGAAGGUUGUGAAGAUAUUCCCAUGCCAGACAUUUGGAUCUCUUUGCCCCAUUGUGUAAUGUUGGUUGGAUGGCAGGGCCAGCUCUAAAUGUUGGUUGGAUGCAAGAGAGGAACUGUACUUGAUCCUCUGCUCGGCCAGCCCGUGGACGACCACUACUUCCUCGAGAAAGACCGGCAUCGCUAUCGACAAUCUAUUGGCUAAUCUUGACAAGUUUUGCUCUGCUGACUGCCCAUCCUGCUGCUCUUUGUGACUCAGCUGGUCGUAGCAGAAGUCAAUAAACAGAAGAUGGAAACCGGCAAAGAUGCAGAUAGAUGGUGGACAUAUGAGAGAGGUGAUGGGAUAAAGAACGACUGUCGGCGACACUUGGCCAGAAGAAGAGAGCUAAGAACGAGGGGGUUCGGAGAGCGCCGCAGCUUGACUGCGGUCCUCAUGGCUCCUAAUAAUCCAUCAGCUGCUAGCGGCGCUACUAUAGCUAAUUGUGAUGUGCAGUUUCUAUCAGCCUUUUGUGUAUGCAGUUUCCCCGUUAUUUUCUAAAAACUUGUCUAUGAUAAUUUCUAACAUACAAUAAUUGUGAAUUUGUGAUAGAUAAUUGGUUUAAAUUAUACUUUACACACUUUUCUGUAACUUAAAGUCUGCAUUUUUCAGAUGUACAGUACUAUUACAUAUCUAACGUACAUAAUGAACUCUUUAUAGGUCUCUGUUGUCCCA